rnacentral:ncRNA from 1 species
GUAAAGUUUGAUUCUUUCUUUCAUUUUUAUAAAUCUAUCGAAAUUGUAUGAGAGCUUCGGCUAGUAUUUCGGUGUCAGUUUAAGACAGGCUCGUAAAUAAAAAUCAGAAUCACGUUCUAUGGUGUUAUAUAAUUCUCAGCAUGUAAUAUUAAAAAAUAUAUGGUCGUAUGAAUUAGCGAUAGGUUAAAGCCUGGUUAAAUAUUGUGCCAGCAUCCGCGGUUAGACUUUGAGGCUAAGUAAAAAUAUAUUGGCUAAUUGUUAGAAAUAGAGGUUCGGCAAUAAAUCUGAAAAAAUAAAAAGUGAAAUUAGAUUAUUUUUUUAUAGAAAAUAAAUGAACCCUAGUCGAAACAAAAAAAUUUUAGAGAUAAACUAGGAUUAGAUACCCUAUUAUACUAAAAAGAAGCUCGUAGGCCAAACUAUUAAUAGAUAUGUUCUUUAAAUUUGAAGAAUUUGGCGGUGAUUUAGUCUUGUCAGAGGAACCUGUUUUUGAAUCGAUAAACCACGUAAAAUCUUGCUUGAUUUUGUUUUCAGUUUGUAUACCGUCAUUAUCAGAUAAUUUUUAUAGAAUAAAUUGUUAAGUAAGUCUAAAACUAAAAAAUUAGAUCAAGGUGCAGCUUAUAGUCAAGCUAAAAUGGGUUACAAUAAACUUUAAUUUAUUAUGGAUAGAGUGAAGAAAUAUGCUCUGGAAAGAGGAUUUGAUUGUAAAAAGAAAUUAGUAUGUUCUUUAGAUAUAAGCCCUAAAUCAUGUACAUAUCGCCCGUCGCUUUCAUUAUGAAGAUGAGAUAAGUCGUAACAUAGUAGGUUUACUGGAAAGUAAACCUAGUACAA